AAAUUUCUCAUACAAUAACUAUUAACAUUAAUGUUCCCAGGAAAAAAAAAUAAACCCUUCAAAUGUCGAGAUGGAAAAAAAAUAAAAAUAGAAAAGCAUCAUCACAAUCACUCUCCGACUACAAGCAUCCUACUAAAAAAGACACAAGGUUGAACCAUUGGUGAUGAUGUGAGGGAAGCAAAGAACUUGAUUACCAAAGUGUCUGUCUGCCCACCACAUCCGGAGGGAGGACCAUUACAGUUUAAGCUUCACAAAUGGCAGCGAUAUCAACAUUGAAUCACAGGCCUAUUCGAUACAUAGAAGAUCAGAAUGUUCCCUUCUCCUUCAGUGACCCCCACCUCAAUAAAUUCUCCAUAUCAACCAGGACUUUGAGUUCAUGACACCUUGACACGAAAAAAGCCAACUAAAUAGGAAAAAGAACUCACCAUCAAAGCACUUGUAGAACUUAGAAGCACUUCCUGUGGACAAUGGAUGGGCCAGACUC
rnacentral:lncRNA from 1 species